rnacentral:rRNA from 1 species
GACAGAGGGGGCAAGCGUUGCUCGGAAUUACUGGGCGUAAAGCGUGCGCAGGCGGUUCGUUAAGUCAGCUGUGAAAGCCCCGGGCUCAACCUGGGAAUUGCGGUUGAAACUGGCGAACUAGAAUCUGGCAGAGGGGGGUGGAAUUCCACGUGUAGCAGUGAAAUGCGUAGAGAUGUGGAGGAACACCGAUGGCGAAGGCAGCCCCCUGGGCUGAGAUUGACGCUCAGGCACGAAAGCGUGGGGAGCAAACAGG